GGGGCUGACAUGGUUUCGACACCGUACAGUGAGCCAGGGGAAGCGUGCCGGUGCAGGCUAGAGACCACCGUUAAGCGUCGUAGCAACUGAUUAAGCGCCGAGAACACUCAGCGCGACUACGCUCUCGCUGCCUAAUUAAGCGACUAGCGUGUCUGUCAGACCGGGCUUGCCCUUUGGUCCGGACCCUGGCAUCGACUUAAAAGGGCUCGCCCGAUGGGUGUGCCGUAAGGCUCAUCGGGGAUCUUCUUGCUUGCGGCUGGGCCCGUCAUUCGGACAUGUUUGCCUGAGCCGAAGGGUCGAGUAGAGGCGAUUGUGCGAACUGCGCACGGAGAAGCCCUGGCGAGUUGGCGGUGGACCCGAGUUCAAUUCUCGGCAGCUCCACAA
rnacentral:tmRNA from 1 species